UACAGAGGGUGCAAGCGUUGUUCGGAAUUAUUGGGCGUAAAGCGCGUGUAGGCGGCUUUGCAAGUCGGGUGUGAAAGCCCCCGGCUCAACUGGGGAGGGUCACGCGAUACUGAUCGACUUGAAGGCAGGAGAGGGUAGUGGAAUUCCCGGUGUAGUGGUGAAAUGCGUAGAUAUCGGGAGGAACACCAGUGGCGAAGGCGGCUCGCUGGGCCGGUCCUGACGCUGAGACGCGAAGGCGUGGGGAGCGAACGGG
rnacentral:rRNA from 1 species